ensembl:lncRNA
AUGGACACCCGGAGGUCUGCGUUCCUUGUGACCCUGAGCAGUCUCCAGGAAUGGGAGGUGGUAACCCCUGGGGAUGCAGCCACUGGCUGUGUUCACAGUCCCCAGAGGCACAGUGGGGAGCAGCUUCUUUCUGAAUGUUUGGGAUGGGUGUCGAGAGCAUCGUGCUCCAGGGGACUAAUGCUCAGGCCGGCACAAGGUUCACUUUAUACAUUUUUAAAGUCCAUAGUGUAUCCAUCGUUCCCCAGUGAAAUAAGCCCUGCCCCUGCUUUAUCUGUGGUUAAUGGUGCAGAGCCAUCCCCAGUGUCCCUGAGUUCUACCCCCAAACUCUUCAUCACUCAGCCUCUUCCUCCCGCUCUCCGCGCCACCAGCACUGGGCAAACACUGACCGCCUCUGAGUCGGCUAGGUGUGUGCUCAGUCGGGUCUGACUCUGCGACCCUAUGGACCACAGCCUGCCAGGCUCCUUUGUCCAUGGGAUUCCCUAGGCAAGAAUAGUCAGUUAGAAAAGUCAGUUGCAUGCCCUCCUCCAGGGGAUCUUCCUGACCCAGGAAUCGAAGCCGCAUCUCUUGCUUCUACUGCCCUGGCAGGCGUGUUCUUUACCGCUAGCACCAACUGGCCAGGUAGUCGCACUUUAGCCCUCAUUUUCACCAAGUUUUGCAAGGUAUUUAUACUACGACCUGGUCAUACUCCCUUAAUAUUUUUAUGUAUGAACUACAUAGAGAAAAGUACAGAGGGCAGUGGGCAAAUACUCAUAUACCCACCAUGUAAAAUUCACGUUUUCCAUUUUGCCCCUUCUGCUGCUUCAUAAAUUUUUAAAGAAUGAAAACCUUACAGAUAGAUUGGAAGCUUUCUAUGAGUCUGCCCCCUAAUCACACAGAGCACUGCUACGCUGAAGGCGGUGUGUGACCUUCACGUGCAAAUGUCCUCUUUACACAGUGAGGCUGUGAGAUGCUGGGUGUCCUCACCGAGCUAAAUGGAGGACCUGGGAUGGUUCCUUCCUGGAUUUCCAGGUGGUAGGCACAUGAAGGAGGUUCACAGAAGGUGGGAAAAAAAAAAAGAUACAAAAUGAUCAUUAAAACAGAGAAUGUCUCCAAGAGCCGCAGGUAAGGACAGACGUGCUUCUUUUGCAAUCGGUGCUCCGGCAGGAAAGUGACUGGACUGAGCUUUGAAGCGGCUUCGGUGUCUUCACGGGACUUCUGACCCUGCUGGCACGUCUUUUCCGAUUCCAGACUUUCUCCAGAAUAUGAUAGUCUCAGUGAAGCCAGGAAACAAAGAUAACCCUGAGCUGGCCUUUGAUGUGAUUCUUUCUCUCCUUCAAUCAAUUUUAUAUUUGAGUUUCUAAGCUCAAAGGGGUCUUGGCAUGUCCAGCAGUGAACAUUCUUCAAAUUCCCCAGUCAUUUCAAACAUUAUUCUAAGGUUUUAAGAUCCAACCAUUUGGUGACUUUUUUGUAUAUCUGUUAAACAUGUUAUUACAGGUCCUCAGCCAGUGUCACAGAGCCAUACUUCCUUUGAAGGAAAAAGUGAGUCAAAAUUCAUUCAUUUAAGAAAUAUGUAACAGUUAUCUACAAUGUGCAGGCUUGUGCCCAUAGCGGGGAUGCGACUGUGAACAAGACAAUCUCUGUCUUCAUAACGCUUAUAAACUAUUCAAAGAAAAAAAAAAAAAGAAUACCCAAACAAUACAGUGUAUCUUACUGAAGUGGAAGUGGAAGUUCUAUGCAAGUGUCAAGAAAAGGCGCCUAGAGUAGACACGAGAGACAGAACCUCCAAACAAGCCCUCAGGGAUGGGGUGGGGUGGGAGGUGUUGGCCGGGAGAGACGUGCUGCUUGCGCAGUGUGAGUAAUCGUCAGUCCACAAGAGCAUGGAGCAACUUAUUCCCCUUGGAUUUUUCCAGAAACCCUGUUAGCUCUGCUCUCUGUGCCCUGACUCCUGAUACUUCCUUUGACACCAGGCUUCUCAUUCCUUCGUCUCCAGCGUCUCAUGGUGACUACAGGGUGUCGCAGCAUGGUGAGGACUGAUAGGAUGCAGGAAGGAGUGGAGAAUGCCACGCCUGCAGGAGUGCCCAGACGCCCCCACGAGGGUGAUCUCUACAUGCUGCGCUCAUCCUGACGCUUGCCUUGCAGACUCAACCUGAAGGAGCUGGCAUGUACUUUUCUCGGCCUCCCCAUCCCUCUCAAAUACCAAA